AAUAUCUUACAGGUACCUUUGUGGACUUGUGUUUCCAUGAUGAGAGGCUGCAAACAACCCUUGAAAAAAGGGUUUCAGAUGGCCAAGUUCUCACUACUGCUUUAUUGGAGGAGUCCUGUUUUUGAAGUUCUGCCCUAAGCUGCGCCCUGUCUUUACAAUGCACUGCAGAGAACAUAAUGCUGCACUGAGCCUGCUGUGAAGAGUUCAUCUGAUUCAAAUGGAAUGACACAGUAACAAGCUGAAUAUCUAGGAAUGGCAGAGACCAGAUGAGGAUACUGAAAGCUGGGACACUGACUACUGUGCUGGUAAACAUCAGCCCAGGAUGAAGUUUGGGCUGUCUGAACUGCAAUGGUCAGGGCACAACUGAGGAUACUCUCAGACAGUACCCGGUGGGGGACCCUGGGUGUACCCUUAGGCCAAAGCCCAGGGAAGGCCCAAGCAUUCAAUUUCAUUAUGCACCAUAGUUUGUUCAUCUAGAAAGUAACAAAAAUAGCAGCAACUUGUUUAUCUGCCUGUGUGGCCAACACAUUUUACUAAGGGUUGUUUGUAAAUUAUUUUGAGAUUCUCAUGAAAAUUGCUGCACCAAAUAGCUUACUUUAACUUGGUUUGUGCAUAUGCUUAUAUAUACAGUCAUACUCACAUACAUGUUCAUUCCCAGGAUCGAUUCACAGUUGCUUCCCGUCAGCUGUCCACAGUUACUGUAUAUGACAAUGCCAUGAAAUCAGGAACUGCAUAUUCUAGAGUUAACACUUUAGCCAUCAAGCAUACUGACUGUAAAAUACAACUAGAAGUAUCGAUUUUGGAGCACAAUCAAAUGUAUUUAAACAAUAUACUCUUAAGCACUAUACUUACAUCUGCAUUUGCAUAUACCACUUAUAUCAAAUAGACCACAUUGGCACGUCUGGAUGUAGUUUCUGUAUCAUCCUUUGCAUUUGUGCAUUAGAUACCACAAGACAAAGAUAUUAUUUAAGACAGUAAAUAUGAUUAUACAGGAUAAAUGACAAGAAUACUGUACUCUGUCAAUUCUGUUUCUAUUCACAGCAGUGAAGCUGCAUUAUAAUCACAACAAACUAAUUUCAUUUUGUUAGACUGCAGUAUGCCUGUAAUAGACAGUAGUACAAAUGAAUUAAAAUAUAUUGAUUAUAAAGAGAAUUAAAUGCAAACUAUUUAAAACACAAUUGAUUAGAUAUAAUGAAACUUUGCAUACACAAUUGCAGAGCUGGCAAACCUAAAU
ensembl:lncRNA